AAAGGCCUGUGAUGAAGAACAUAUUUGCCUACAUUGUCUGAUUGCUCUAGUUGAAGAGUCUUUUCCUACAAGUCUGAGGCCUUU